GAUGAACGCUGGCGGCGUGCCUAAUACAUGCAAGUCGAGCGAACAGACGAGGAGCUUGCUCCUCUGACGUUAGCGGCGGACGGGUGAGUAACACGUGGAUAACCUACCUAUAAGACUGGGAUAACUUCGGGAAACCGGAGCUCAUACCGGAUAAUAUAUUGAACCGCAUGGUUCAAUAGUGAAAGACCGUUUUGCUGUCCCUUGUAGGUGGUUCCGGGUCGCAUUAGCUAGUUGGUAAGGUAACGGCUUACCAAGGCGACGAUGCGUAGCCGACCUGAGAGGAUGAUCGGCCACACUGGAACUGAGACACGGUCCAGACUCCUACGGGAGGCAGCAGUAGGGAAUAUUCCGCAAUGGGCGAAAGCCUGACGGAGCAACGCCGCGUGAGUGAUGAAGGUCUUCGGAUCGUAAAACUCUGUUAGUAGGGAAGAACAGAUGUGUAAGUAACUAUGCACGUCUUGACGGUACCAAAUGAGAAAGCCCCGGCUAACUACGUG
rnacentral:rRNA from 1 species